GUGGAUUAGAUACCCUGGUAGUCCACGCCCUAAACGGUGGGCAUUAGGUGUAGGGCUCGCAAGGGUUCUGUGCCGAAGGGAAACCAUUAAAUGCCCCGCCUGGGGAGUACGGCCGCAAGGUUGAAACUCAAAGGAAUUGACGGGGGCCCGCACAAGCGGUGGAGCAUGUGGUUUAAUUCGACGCUACGCGAAGAACCUUACCUGGGUUUGACAUGUUAGUGGUAAGAACCCGAAAGGGGGAUGACUUGGGGGUAACUCCUUGAGCUAACACAGGUGCUGCACGGCUGUCGUCAGCU
rnacentral:rRNA from 1 species